CCUACGGGUGGCUGCAGUGAGGAAUAUUGGUCAAUGGACGAGAGUCUGAACCAGCCAAGUAGCGUGAAGGAUGACUGCCCUCUGGGUUGUAAACUUCUUUUAUAUGGGAAUAAAAUGUUCCACGUGUGGGAUUUUGUAUGUACCAUAUGAAUAAGGAUCGGCUAACUCCGUGCCAGCAGCCGCGGUAAUACGGAGGAUCCGAGCGUUAUCCGGAUUUAUUGGGUUUAAAGGGAGCGUAGGUGGAUUGUUAAGUCAGUUGUGAAAGUUUGCGGCUCAACCGUAAAAUUGCAGUUGAAACUGGCAGUCUUGAGUACAGUAGAGGUGAGCGGAAUUCGUGGUGUAGCGGUGAAAUGCUUAGAUAUCACGAAGAACUCCGAUUGCGAAGGCAGUUCACUGGACUGCAACUGACACUGAGGCUCGAAAGUGUGGGUAUCAAACAGGAUUAGAUACCCUAGUAGUC
rnacentral:rRNA from 1 species